AUUGAACGCUGGCGGCAGGCCUAACACAUGCAAGUCGAGCGGAUGAAGGGAGCUUGCUCCUGGAUUCAGCGGCGGACGGGUGAGUAAUGCCUAGGAAUCUGCCUGGUAGUGGGGGAUAACGUCCGGAAACGGGCGCUAAUACCGCAUACGUCCUGAGGGAGAAAGUGGGGGAUCUCCGGACCUCACGCUAUCAGAUGAGCCUAGGUCGGAUUAGCUAGUUGGUGGGGUAAAGGCCUACCAAGGCGACGAUCCGUAACUGGUCUGAGAGGAUGAUCAGUCACACUGGAACUGAGACACGGUCCAGACUCCUACGGGAGGCAGCAGUGGGGAAUAUUGGACAAAGGGCGAAAGCCUGAUCCAGCCAUGCCGCGUGUGUGAAGAAGGUCUUCGGAUUGUAAAGCACUUUAAGUUGGGAGGAAGGGCAGUAAGUUAAUACCUUGCUGUUUUGACGUUACCAACAGAAUAAGCACCGGCUAACUUCGUG
rnacentral:rRNA from 1 species